UUGAAAAAUAUAAUGAUGACAACCAGAAAGUCAAAUUUGUAGCUCAUCUAAGUUAAGGGCUGUAAUUGAGAUAUUCUGAUUAAAUUUGUCUGUUGUCAGGGCUUGAAACUAACUUUUUAUGUCAUCAGUCCAGUCUGACUGAUGGGGUAUAAUUUCAACCAGUCCGUAGAAAAUUUACCAGUCCACCAGAAUUUUCCAGAAAUAAAUAAAAAUUUUGUGAAUGUUAUUAAAAUGAAAUAUGUAAUUUAACUUAAUAUGCCUCAGACAAUAUCGUAAUACUUAUGUGAGAUUUAUAUUACGCCUGAUAUCUACAGAGGAAUGCCAGAUGCGCAUUUAAGAUUCAUAAGAAUAUUUUCCAGAAUGACGUUUUAAAAAAUUGACAAGUAACAGACUGACGGGCAUAUGUUGAUUUUGAGUCCUUGUUGUCAGUCUAUUUGUUGACUUUCACAUGUUCAACUUCUUCAAAAUCGCAGGCCAGUUUCAAGCACACAUACCACAGAGUACUCUUUGGUAUGUACUAUGAAUGUUUUUCAAACUGUAGUUUGAAUGAAGGUCCUGGCAUCUUCAGGUGAAAGAAUUGAAAUUUUGUUUUGAGAAUUAUGUUCGAGUAAUUCUGGAAUGAGUUAAUAAAAGGCCACGAAUUACCGAGCAAACUUGACACUCUUUGAAAUGCAUUGAACAUGACAUGACCAGUAGUGACAGUGGAUAGUUGUCAUGCAUUUUUGUGCAAGAAUGGGCUUGGUCAUUAUUGUCAGUUUUUAUUUUUUUUUUGGAUCAAAUGCAGUCAAGAUUCAUUAAUACAUGAAUUCUGGUAUGUGGGACACAUCAAACACAAAUUUGUAUACUUAAGAAUAUAGAAGCGCACAUAAUUAAUGUGUGAGUGUGUACACACACACACCCACUUAUAUAAAUCAUACUCAAAUGGUCAACAACAACAAAUUAAUAUAUUGUUAAAUUUUCGACAUAACAUGUCCCUUUCCUCAACUAUUUCCGAUAUUAAAGUCAUAAAAGAAAAGUAAUAAACUUGUAUAUAUAGUUAAUUGGACCAAUAGUGUUGAAUAUAUUUCCGUCUCCCACAUACAGAUGCUCUUGGCAUGUCUUUGUCAAAUACAGUGACUAAUAUAGAUAUUGUAUUUCAUUGACAUUUUAAUGGCAUCAAACAAUCUGCAUUUUGACCACAAGAGUUUAAUGUUCGUGUCAUCAUUUUCAUCACCAACUUGUUAUGAAAAAGUGCUGCAUCAUAAUUUCAUCACCAUGAUUGUUCAUUUGUAAGGUUGAAGUAUUUGAAUGCAUGUACUGUUUAGAGAAGGGAAUCAAAUCAUCAUAGAUCAACAUAUUCAUCAACAUUCAGAUUCACCUUCAACAGCAGAAAAAAUUCUUCACGAUUCCAUUUUUGAUCGAUUCAAGACAGAAAAUGAAUUUACAUUUCCUCAAAAAUCAGAUCUAAUUGCUUUCAUUUUAAACAGUACAACAAAAGGGGAAAUUAUUAAUUAUUUAUUUGAUGACAUAAAAUUCAGGUCAGAAGUUGUAAAGAAAAUUUGCAAAGACAUAGAUUUGAAUGCUUCUUCUAAAUGUACCAGAAGUGCAGACAGCUAUCUUUUUUGUAAAAGUUAUGAAAAUCUUAAGAAUUUUACCUUUCAGGAUGUUAUCUUAGAAAUGAGCCAAUGUCAACCAGAUCUCCUAAAGUUUUUAUUGGCUGUUGCAGUACCCAGUAACCGCAUUGGAAAAUCUCUCUCUCCCCUUCUCCCUAAAUUUAGCAUUAUCUAUAGUAUACUUAUGUCUUCAAGAUUUCAUGAGUUAUCCCGACUGCAGCGAGUGAUAAGCACUGCUUUGAUGGAGGAACAGGUUCAUGAGAAGGUCUUUGACAGACUUCAGAAAUGUGGUAUUUCAACAUCAGCAGAUGUAUGCUCCAGACUAUUAGAUGAAAUUGGGGGCCAUUUCAAUAAUGAGAUAAUUUCUUUAAUUCAUGGUGGAAAACAGUUUCGAUUCAUUGGGGAUAAUGUUAAUUUUACUGUUGGUGUUAAGAGUGAGAGACAAGAUGCAAAACCACAAGUUUGUAACUGGUUUGCAUCUUGUAUUAUCACUCAGCCACUCUCAUUUUCAGACUUGCCUGAUGUGUCACAGGGGAGGACAAGAGACCUCAACCUAUCUCAUUUCCUGCCAAAUGCAGAUGAUGAAAGGAAGUUGAAGAACGAUUACCAGGUUCUCAUUUCAAGAGUAGUCAAGGUCUUCCUUCCACAAUUGACCUUCCUUUAUGGGGGGCAACCGAAGCAUAUUAUAGAGGAAGCAACUUCAAAUGCAACAUCUAAAUAUUGCUGGAGAGCUUUAACAUUGGAGAAACACUCCAUAACAUCUGUGAUUGAAUCAAUUUUAUCUUGUAAGCAGUUCUUCAACUCCCCAGAGGGAUCGGCAUCAAUAUACUGCUGUAAAAGAUGCUUACACUGAUGUUGUUGAGCUAAGCUUGUAACUAAACUCUUUGAAGAUUGGUGACACUCAAUUUGGAGACAUGAAUAUUUUUCCCACAUGGGCUUGGACUAGACUGGAUAAGUCACUGUUGCAGUUAGAAAUAAGAAAUUGCACCGAAGAAGCGUUCUCAGGGAGCCUAUGUUCUGAAAGAUUGGACGAAACUCCUUCCCCCAAUCUAGUAUACAAUGGGCUUCAUCGACACACACAAUGACUUGCUCAUCUCUGUGGAUGAUAGAAGAAAGACAACUAAAUCCUCCCUUUGAAACGAUCACUUCUGGGUGACCAAAAAUGUACUUGACAUUUGAAAUGUGUUCUGCGCUAGCAAAGUCAUCUGAAAGCUUAAUAGCUAGAGAGCCUAACUUUUUAAUUUCCUGAUUGAUGAUAGCAUUUAAUGGGCUAAUAAUGACACAUUUUUGAAAUUUGCCCAAUUCCAUAGCAUAAAAUGGUGAAAGUUCAUAGAUUAGACUUUUUCCGUAUCCUGUUGGCAAGGUGACAAAAGUGUCUGUCUUUUGAAUGGAUUCCAAAGAGUCAACUUGAAAUGGCUUUAAAAAAUUCACACAGUUUCCUUUUGUUUUCAGGUUGAAAUUUUGAAUUGCUUUCUUUAGUGUGAUUGCUCUGUUUAAUGCCUCCAUCUAUAGAAAAUAAAUUCAUUUUGUAAAUAUUUGAUUGCAUAUGGAAUAAAUUUUUUGACUACAA